GACGAACGCUGGCGGCGUGCUUAACACAUGCAAGUCGAACGGUAAGGCCCUUCGGGGUACACGAGUGGCGAACGGGUGAGUAACACGUGGGUGAUCUGCCCUGCACUUCGGGAUAAGCCUGGGAAACUGGGUCUAAUACCGGAUAGGACCACUGCCUGCAUGGGUGGUGGUGGAAAGCUUUUGCGGUGUGGGAUGGGCCCGCGGCCUAUCAGGUUGUUGGUGGGGUGAUGGCCUACCAAGGCGACGACGGGUAGCCGGCCUGAGAGGGUGACCGGCCACACUGGGAAUGAGUAACGACCCAGACUCCUACGGGAGGCAGCAGUGGGACAUAUUGCACAAUGGGCGCAAGCCUGCUGCAGCGACGCCGCGUGGGGGAUGACGGCCUUCGGGUUCUAAACCUCUUUCAGCACCGACGAAGCGCAAGUGACGGUAGGUGCAGAAGAAGGACCGGCCAACUACGUGCCAGCCGCCGCGGUAA
rnacentral:rRNA from 1 species